rnacentral:lncRNA from 1 species
CACUACAUCCACUCGGUCAAAUGCUAUUGCCUCUGUCUCUCCAUCUCCACAGCGGGAUUUCCAGAAUCGAUUUAGGAGUGAAGUCUUUGAUUGAAUAAAAGGUAGCCGGCUGCUACUAAGAAGAACCUAACAGAAGAUUCCAUCCGGAAUAAAGCCAUAACCUACGUCAAAGAAUAUCAUGCCUAUGACUUGAAACCUGCAUAUAGUAUAAUUCACCUACGCCUUGAACAGAAGAAUUAGCUCCAUAUGAUAUAAUCGGGUAACCCACCCUUCCGCUCGCCGAAAACAGGAACAGUAAUGACUGGCUAUAAUAUGCGGGAACUAGCGGCCCUGCCGCGCAACUACUAGACUAGCAACUAAUAAGGGAAAGUUUCCAGUGGAGGUGGGCAAGGGGAGACAGAGUUCAAAGAGGAAGUGGAGAGGUCGGGGAAGAAAGAUAAGAGCCAUAGUUUAGGUCGGUUGCCAGUACUUUUCUUGUUGUUGGUGAAUCCCGGGGUUAAUAGGUGGAUUUCCCAUAAAACAUAAGAAGUGCAUAAAUAGUUCAUUUUCACCUAACAUCUUUAUAUCCUCUUAUGAAUUUAGGGUGUCCGUACUGUUGUUAUCUGGCUUUGAAGCAGGAAGUAGAGAAUUGUAGCCAGUUGCCUGAGGUGGAGUAGCAAUACAAUCUAUAGUUCUUAAAGAAUCAAGUACUGGCUUUUCAACUUGAAGUUCAGAAUGGAAUGGAAUUAGUUUACAGUUUGAUUAGAUGGAAAGGGAUGGGAUAAAGGCAGAGCCAGAGUAGAGUGAUUAGUUUCAGUUUCCCCUGCAGAGUAGCGGUAAGUGUGAUAAGAAUUAGAAUGAAUAGGGGAAUAGUGGUAAGUGAGUUCCUGUGUUCGCCACCGAUUCCCAGAUGCUAUAGUAGUGUCUUGUCCAGUUGCUUGGCCCUUUUCUUGUUCUCCUUACUUUAUACUUAACCGACGCAGCACGCAAUGGCUAACUCUCUAACGCUCACAAAUGCACUUAGGCGAAAGAAGCAGCUGCUAUUUACUUUAACUCGACUUCGAGCUACUUGUACAGAAUUAAUACGAGUGGAGUUCGUUCCUUCUUGUGUUGUCGAUGAAAAAGGCAAUGACAUUCUUCAAGUUUUGAGUGAGGGGAGAAGAAUAUCAGAAGGAGAAGAAGUUGUAUCAAGAGAAGAUGCGGAAUAAGGAGUCAGAACAGUAUUAUAUGCCGAGGGGGGAAAGGGAAAUUUAUGAAAAGUUGUAACAUCGUAUAGAUUAGGUGCGGUAAUAUUACUUACUUAAAGAAUUGGGCAAUAAAGAAUUUCAGAAUGAUACUCUAAUGUCAGAAUUAAAGAAUCAAGAAAAUACUUGAGUUUAGUCUACUUAUUUCAAUAACAACUAGUCAAAAAGUAUAGAUUUUGAGUUACCGAGGGAAAGUCUUGUUGCGAAGGUUUAAGUGCUUUUGCCUUCUUGUCUUUCAGUUCUUUUCUUGCAAAGAAGCAGAAUAAGGGUUAGAAGCUAGACCUUCCGCCGGGGAAGAGAGCGAUGUUGGCGACUCGAGAGGUUAAGGUUCUUGAUUGGCCUUCUUGCCUUGUUGACUUUGUUGAUUAUGUCCUUCUUCAGCUUGACUUGUAAAUCCGCCUUCUUGCCUUACUUGACUUCUUGGAUUAUUACCCUUUCUUCAUGUGCGCACUGAAUACUUGUAUCUUGGGGUGGGAGUGUUGUCACUCAAUUAUGAAAUAAUCGACUAAAGCGUUAGGAAUGAAUUGGCAAUGAAAUAAUUAUUGUUCAGAAGCAGAGUAAGCAGAUAGAGCAGCAGAGUAAGCAGCAAACAUAAAUGAAAGUGACGUGCGAGUUGAAUCGAAGUGUUGGGCUUGUGUUGCUUGUGUAUAAGUAAGAAAUAUCCGUUCGCCGAAGUUGAAUCCGGUUGUCGACCAGAGAAUGAAUCAACGGUUAAGGUUCAAAAGUCAGCGGGAAGCAGGACAAUCAGUCUAAUUGACUAUUAAGAAGAAGAAUGAAAGCGCGGUCAAAAAGUGAAGUGUCAAUGAGGAUGCUUCGGGUGCAAAAGUCAUCGUAUAUGGGAUCGAAGGCAAUAUAUAAGUCGCUAACUACAAAACAAGGUGAAGUUGAAAAAGAACCAUAUCGCUGCUCGUUGAUGUUAAGCUCGUUGAGUUUCAUGUAUAAGAUUGUAAAGAAGAGAGGGAGAUUCCAGCCAUUCAGAAAGUUCAGGCAAGACGUCGUGCAUCAAUGUAAGUGAGUGACUCAAGAAAGCGUGAAGCUCGAAAGAUCCAAUUCAUCUUUUACUCGGCGUUAGAAACAAGUGCAUCAGUGAGCUGCUCACAAACAACAAGUCCUUAUUUCAUUCAUUCGUUGGACUAUAGUUUCAAUGAUUGAUUAGCUAUCUUUUUUGUUUCCUGUGGAUUAGAGAAAUCAGUCUGUCUUCUUAAGCCUUUUAACCUAAACCGAGUUGCUUGCAACAUUUGAGGAGAGCUUUUCUCAUAGAAAGAAAAAGAAAAUAUAGUCAAAUGAAAGAAGAAAGUCAAAUUGCACACUCCUUGGCUAGUAGUUACUUGUUUGGUUGUUUGCUUGUUUCUAGCCUUGCUCAUGUGCCAUUGUUUGUUCCCUUGCUUAAUGAAGAUAAUCAUCUGGCAGCCUUACCUUUGACUAUUGUACUGUACAUUCUUGCCCUUGCUUAUGGAAUUUUCUAUACAUACAUUAUAUGGGAGUCAGUAAUUUCACUCCAGAUUGUUUACUGCUCUGGCACAAACUGACUUACAACCUCUGGGGGAAGAAAGAUCAUCGAUCAUCAGGAGAAAAGAUGGAGCAGGAGAACAACAACUUUAAGAAGAGGUUGGCAAAAGGGGAACAGUUAGGUUCAAAAGUCCACUAUUUUCUUAGACGCCAGGUAUCUAUUGAGGAAUAGAAUGGAAUGAAACUAAGAGGUGAGCUAGUAGGAAAGGAAGUAGGAAAGUUAGAAGGAGAGGACAGCUGGAAGGUCUGAGUUGAGGUCGGUGCUAUAGUGGAAUACCGGUAGUUGUUGUAUUAGUUGACAGAGAAUAGGAUAAAGUGCUUGUGUUAAGCAUAGAAUAAAAGAUAGAAUUGUGUGGCUCUGAUCUCUACUUGGCCCACUACUAAAUUAGAUCUUCUGCUUAUAUAUGAAACCACUAAAUCCAAGAAUCAAACUCACCCCAAUCAGACUUCAAGCAAGGGGAGCUAGCUCCGACUGAUGCCUAACAACCGGAGCCAUUGCUAGUAACAGCAAGACUCAAACCAGAACCAACUCAUAUUGAAACAAGCGCUAACAAGCCUGAAGCGGUGUCUAGGCAGAAUGAGCCUAAGGUGUUACAGACCCAAACCGGUGCUGGGCAGACUGAAGCCAGGGAGUUAGAGAAUUGAACUAAAGUAACAACUACUAUACUCUGGGAAAUGAACUAAGGAGUCUAAGAAUUCACCCAGUAAGUAUAUGGCUAGGAAUGAAACCCAUAGGUCACAUAACUAAACUCAGAGGUGAGCGAGCACUAACGCGCAACAUUAGUAGUUACUUGUCCUAUCAAAUUCUAUCUCUUCUUAUUAAAGAAAACAGAAAUGGCUUGGCUGCCGCUACACAUUAGUCGUUACUUGUUGAAUGCAACAUAUACAAAGCUAAGUAAGGCGUCAGAUAUUAUGUCCCUUCACUUGAUCUCUGCUUAUGCUUUAGGAAUCCCGCUUCAAAGCAAGAGGCGAGGGAAAGAAUGAUUUACUCCGGUGCAAUCUCUGAAAACUUCAUUCUUUGCCUGCAAUCUUAUGUUCUGUCUGAUCAUUCCACUCCUCCUCGUAGCCUCGCUUCUUUACGUGCUGCUGACACAGAAGUCUAGGAUAGGAUAGGACUAAACUUAGUAUGAAACUACAAUACUAUUAGUUGGGGCUGUAAACCGGACUUGCUCAUAACAGGAGCAGCCCUUAAGCUUUGAACUCGCUGACGCGCUACUUACUACUAAGCUUGUCUGAUGCAAUCGGUAACUCUUUCUUUGAUACCAGAAUGAGACUCCUAUACCGUAGUAAACAAACAAAGAUGAAACAAGGGGUAAAUUACUAUAAGGGCCUCAACUCUUGUAUGGGUACCCUACCUCUAGACUUCUAAGAAUGAAACAAGUCAGUUACAGCCUGUGAGAUACCCCCGCGGAACCUUUUCAAUCUUAGUAACAACUGCUACUAAACAAGCUACUCCCUUAAGUAGACAAACAACUGACUAUAAGAGCUGCUCUAGUACACAAGCACCAAUAACCUUAUCAAGCAAGCGGGCAAUCAACAAGUUGAGUUCUUUUGAGCAACUGGGCAAGUGCCCUUAAUAGUUAAUGGUGGCAGUCCGGGGAUAGAAACAAGGCUCUAUUCGUUUUAUAGGCAAAACGGGACCCAUACGAGGCAACCACAUCUAUUAUAGCGACACCUUACUAAAUGAUAUAUUUAUAGCGACACCUUACUAAAUGAUAGAUUCUCCCCUUGUUGGUGACUAUCAAUCAGUUGUUGAAGCCUAUCUAAGAGAAUAGAGUUAACUUACUGCCCCCGUUCGAAAGAGUGAUUCCUGGGUUUUUGAUAGCAUUGGUUACUGGUUUGGUUCCAAAGAUACCGGUGCUUUUGUUAAGCUAUGAGGUUAAUGUCAAUUGUCAGCUGUCCCCUGGUAGAUCAUGCAUGCCUAGCUCCAGCCUAUUAUUAGAAAGUCAACUUUACUCGCACCUACCGAAGAAUUGACAGUAAGGGUUGGUUGGCAAGAAUAGAAGUAUUGUAGCCGAACCUAUAGUUUUGGGGAAGUGGAAUUCUUCCUUCAUUUGACUAGCGGCCCUGUUAGGAGUUCCAUAAAAUACCUGAGUUCACAGAGGAAGUAUAGAGGUCGGGGCAGAGUUGGAGGGUCAGCUGGAAGUGGUUAUGAACUGAGAGUUCAGGUCGGGUGCUCACAGACAGAGUAGAAAUUCCAUGUUGCAGUUCAGUCAAUGGGAAGUAAAGAAAGGGGAGCCAUAAGUCUGAUAUAAGAGAUGAGCCAGAGUCUAGGUCUCAAGGGAAGAAGUGCCUGGAAAGCAGUCCGCAGUGAGAGUUUUCUCCCUUGUUUCAAGCUUAAUUGUAAGGCUCGGGAGCUUGUGUUAAGCAUAGAACAAAUCUAGAAUAAGAGAGAACUCCUGCCGCUCUUUUAGCUCGCUACCGCUUUAACUCGCUGCCGUUUAGCUCAGGCUCCUACCGCACAACGUCUUACGCCGCCUAAACACACUGCCGCGACACAUUAGUAGUGUCUUGGCGGUCAUUAGUAGUUGCUUGGCGAUCGGCUUGGUUAGUCGUGACUUGGCGCUUAGUUGUUUGGUUAGUCGUGGCUUGGUCAUUAGUAGUUGCUUGGUGACUCAAACUCGGGAGUCCAAGCCUUAACCCACCGCUUCCAAGACUGAUACCGGGGAAAUGACACUCGAGUAUAUGCUUGGCCCCCUUGCUUUAAGAAUUUCAUAGUAACCCAAGGCUCUCUAUCCUUGCUUUCAAUCGUAGUCAAAUCUUUCUUCCCUUCCUUGCAUUCGAUCUACCACAUCUGUCCUUGCUUCUUCUGUUUACAGCUACGAGUUGACCUUUGAAAGCCUAAGUGCUACCGCUUAGUGAGUUUGUAGAGUUUCGCAGUGAGUGCGGAGUGGAAACACUAAGAAUUGAGGUAAUGAAAAUACCACUAAUAAGAGUCAGAAGGAAAAAACCACCAUUGAAGUAACAAAGGGGCCUCUAUAAUAAGAGACAGAAUGAAUUUAGUAGGGGAAAAGCAAGAAGCAAUGCAGCUAAUUGAUAUGUCCUAAUUCCGUCAUGGCGGCAGGAGCCCUGGCUUUGAUGCGCUAAGGCUAAGGCUGACUCUUGCUUGUUGUUGCGUAGUGCUCUUACUAGACUCUUGGGGUGCUCGGAAAGUCAACUCUUGAAUCAGAGGUGCAAGCUUAAGAUGGAGCUAGAUCAGUUGCUGAAGCUGGAUAAGGAUCAAAGGAGAAUGAACAGUGCGAGAGGGUGAACUCGAUAUGUAUUUACUAGGUUCGUUCUAUACCCUUUUACAGAUUGAAUUCUUUGUUGCGCUUGGGUGGAAUAGAUUCAAUGAAUUCUGAUUGCAUUGCCUAAACGGGAAGUGAGUAGUUAAGGGUUUUCUCUAGCAAAUAAGGUCUUAUGAGGCGCAUUUCUAUACAACUACUUCAUUAUUUUAUUCAAUUCCAUUCUAACCUCGAACAGAAGCAUACUCGUUACUCGUAUAUUGCAGCUUACUUGCCAACAGCGGAUUCUCUCUCUUGUCUUGCGCCUGCAUCCUUACUGCUUGUUCGAACUCAGAACUAACACUAACAUAGAAGUCAAGUAAACAAACAGAGCAUAGCUAGCUUAUAAGGGCGCUUUCAUCAUUUUAUUGAGUGCAUGAGUGCACCACUACCACUAAUAGAUAUAAAGUCAACAACUAUAAGAAUAAAGUAAGAAAACUUCACUAAGGAAGAAUCAAUAAGUAUUAAAAGGAGCUUAAGAUUACUUCACUGAAGAUUGAAAACUAUCUAAUGCACCCCUGAACUCCAAAUCACCUAACACGUUAGCACUUAGGCUGCAACUUACUGCCUAUAGCCCAGCGUGGGACGUCGAACUCAUGUUGGUUAGCUGACAAAGGACUUUGCUUUAAACUCAUACGUGAGUAUAGUUUCUUUUCUUGCCUUGUUACCAGUAAAACAUUCCAAUUCAACCCGAAACUCCCCUACACGCACUGCUGAUUCUGUUGAUACUACUUAUUCUCUCCUUGAUGAACCAACACCUAAGGGAAAGCCAGACAAGUAACUACAAAAUGACUAAUUAUACACAAGUCCCUCCUUCCAUCUUGCUAGAGCGCUAAGGGAAGAAGUUUCAUCAGAAGCCUUGCGCAAGUAGGCAACAAGACAUUCCUCAAGUUCAGGUUCCAGCAUAAAAUGGUAAAGAAGAGUCGAAUUGAAUCCAUCUCUCGCCUAGCAGUUAACUCGAAACUCCAUUACUUGUUCUCGUAACUCGCUACCGAACUCAACUUCAAUUGCAGCUUACUCCUUAUUUCACUUCCUUCUGUCUUCUUAUUCUUACUGCUUACUUCUUAUUUCACUCCCUUCUGUCUUCUUAUUCUUUCUACGAGUCUCUUUGGCUUGUGCUCCUGCGCUGGUUGGAGUGCUUAGGCACUUUCUUGCUAGUUUUUGCUUGUUGUAUUAAGUGCACCUGUAAUAGAUUGUGGUAAACAAUAAAGCUUCCUCUAAGAGUUAUAGAAGUCCUGUAAACAACACAGCUUCCUCUAAGAGUUAUAUAUAGAAAUGGUAAAGGCUUGAAGCACCUUGCUUGCUUCCUCUAGGAGUUAUAGAAAUGGUAAAGAAGACUGACACUGCUAUUAUGGAGUUUCUAUUUGAAUUCUUUUCCUCGAACUACACUACAAAGAGCGGGCAGGGCCAAGCAACUACUAACGAGUUUCAUGAAGACCUUUCCUACCACUGAGUGGAAUUAAGAGAUCCGUUCACCUAUAUAAAGAGAAAGAGCAAAGUAACUACUAAUCUAUAUAAAGAGAAAGAGCAAAGAGCCAAGCAAGCCGACCUCGACUCUGUCAACUAAGUAAGUAAACCUACCCGCCAAGCCUACUACUUGUUUGAAAUGAAAAGAUGCGUUUUCCCUGGCUUUGAAGCGGGAUCGGAAUCAGAGUCAGAGGUGUUAGAAUCAGAGUCAGAGGCUAAGGCUAUAGUCGGGUCAGCUGAUAUUCCAUUCCAUUCUUUUCUUAUCGAUCGCUCAACCUUUUCUUGAAUCUUUCUCGCACCAAGUAAACAUGAAGCACUACUUGGCCUAAUGUAACCUACCCGCAUGUCUCCUAUCGUGCCUCCCCAAUAGAUUAGAUGUUACACGACUAAACAGUACUGGCGAAUGAAACAAGUAAGUCCACCACCCCUGCCCUAGUAUUGGAAUUCUGAGUUUAGGUAAAUCCUCUGGUAGUUACUUGGCUCUUUGUUUGAUCAGGUAGCGCCGAAUCCCUUGUUUCGUGGUUGAUUCUGUCUUCUGCUGUAGUUGGGCCACUAGGCUUAGUGCUGUGACUGAUGAGUCUAAUUCUCUGACUUAUGAUUUGGAUUACCGGUUGCUUGUUUGAUUAUUGCCCUAUUAGUAGGAGGGAAAGCCUAGGGGUUGUGUUUGCUCUAUCGGAAGAUGCUAAAGGAUCCGAAGCGAUAGUGAAAGAAUCCAAAAUCCAUAGUUUUACCCGAGAGACAGGAGAGUAAGGCUAAAGUCAUAGGUAAACGAGUGGCUUUUACUUGUGCUAAGGUUAGUUAAUGUUCAGUUGGGGUAAGAGAAUCCGUCGUGAAAAAGGAAGCAGUAUAAGCUGUUUUAAGAGAAUCAAUCAGCAGUACGAAGGUAGCUCCGUCGUUGAGUUUGGUUCCUCAAGUGAAGUUUGGACAAGUUCAAUGUAGGGUUUGACUGGUUUACUCAGUGCUUAUGGAGUUGGGGCAAUCAGAUCCUCCAGUUCAAGUAGUCAACUUAUCCAAUACGGUGCGUGCGCCUAGCCUAGUUGAGUGAUUAAAGCAAGGAAAGGAGUAUGCUGUGCUUAGAAACAAAAGGUAAGCCCUAAGUGCAAAGGUCAGAAUGCAACUAAGUAAGGAAAGUGAGAAUGUCACUCAGUAGCAAGAGGAGAGGCCAGUGUCAUAAAGGUGGGCAAGGGAACCAUCAAGCUCAGUUCUCAAGUGGGGUGCGUGUACUCUUUCUGUCCCUGCUAUCUUUCUGUCCCUGCUUCUUUACCUAUUGCAGAGAAUGGGUCAUAUGUUUCUUAUACCUUGUUGCGGCGGAGACUGAUAUUAAUAGUGAGUUGCUAAGGCUAUUAAUAGUACUUAUAGGCCUAGUUGCUAAGGUGAAGAAGACUAGUAGCAGCAGUAGGAGCGGAGAGGCAAGGGGGAUUCUGGUUUUGAAAGAGUAGACAAUAAGGCUAGUGAGUGGAAUUCCUUACUUUAAUGAGUUAGUUCAAGACUUUAAUGAGUUAGUUCAAUUCAUAACUUCAAGUUGAGAGGUCUGGUCAGAUGGGAAAGGGGAUCCUCCAUUUCAUGAUUAACUUCAAGUCUAGGUCGAGGAAGACAAAGUCAAGAGCCCCAUUAAGUAUACAAAGUCAGGAGCCCCAUUAAGUAUAUAGUAACUGUAACCAAGCAUAUACUAGACAAGCAUGAGUUUUCACUUAUUAUGUACAAGUCCAGUGUUCGACAAGUGAAUAAACUGAAUCAGCAAACUCAGUAUCAGACUCCGUAUCAGACGAAUUGACUUACUUCGACACUAAGACAGAUGAGAGAAUUUCUCCUAUAGCGACGGAACUAGCAGCGGCAAAUGAGCUAGCAAGGGCAGGCUAUAAGUAAGGGCAGACUCAAACAAAAGAGUCGAGGAGCUAGGGACAGCAGCUAUAGACUAAGAGAGAGCCCUGGAAGAGUGAAAGUGUGAGGGUAGAUUUAGGUUCAGUAAUAUCCGUUUUUUAGUUAGUAGCGGUAGGCCGUUAAUAAGGCUUUUUUUGUUCUGAUUAGUAUAAGUUGAAGGAUCCGGGUCAGCAGCCGUAGCCUUCAAAUAAGUAGCUGGUUUCCCAUUUAGUGGGGUCAGUAUUAUUGGCAUUAGUGAGUUGCCUGGCGAGUACAAUCCCUUGUUUUGAGUUUGAUUCCCGAAAUAUAGUACUUCAUUCUGUACCGGACUACAAGAAAGUAUGCAAAGCAAGAAUCUGAAUAUGGAAACAAAGAAUGAAAGACAUAAGUAACAGGGCGAAACCGAGGAAGAGCUGUUUUAGAGCAAGUAGGGGUAGACUUCGGUUAUUGUUAGUGUAGUAGCAAAGGCAAGGAUCCGAACUAUUGGAUAAAGGAAAGAAGCCGGGAUCCAUAUCAGUAGAAAGAAGGGGAAGCCCUAGAAACUGUAGUCACAGGCUAAUAGUGAGUAGUGACAGUCCAGUUAGUAGUGGUAGGCCGAUACACUAGCUAAUAAGGCAGGGUUUUGGGGGGCAUGAAUAAGGCUUUGACAGCAGGGUUCAAUUCAUUGUUCUAAAAGUGGAUAGGCCCUUAUAGUAUGUUUCGGGAAGGUAGACAAUAAGUGACUUGAGAGGAGAAGUCGGGUGCUUGUGUUAAGCUUAGAAGAAAUCUAGAAUAUUUGCCUACUUGCCCACUUGUCUAUCCGUUGCUUGGCCCCCAACCUGUAUAGUAGUCUAGAGCCCAGAGCAAUAACUGUAUUAUAAGAAUUCAACUCAAAAGUAGGAAAGUAGGAGUUACAGAAUUGAACACUAGGUGGUUAGAUCAGAAUGCAACUAACUACCAGUAACUAAGGGACCGAUCUGAAACUCUCACUGAUUCUUUUGAGGCUUAGGAUCUUGAAACAGCUCUAAAAUCAACCUAGCUGUAGGGCAAAAUCAUCCUAGCUGUAGGGGCAGUAGUCAAGUAAAUACUUAAUGGAAUUGAAUGCACAUCGCAUGCAUCUAAGUUUUGAAUCUGACCUACAUCUCGAUUUCCUUGAUACCGUACUAAAACCAGCGCAGGAGAAGGAAUGGAUUCUUCCCCCGGAGCUUCACUUUCGAACACAUAAACAUCAUUUCCUGAUCCCGAUCAACCUCGAGUCGACGUACCAACCUAUACAGCGGAUUCUUUAGUCGCAUUAACUGUCAUGUCAACAACUGUCUGGUCUGGUCCGGAGCAAGUCAAGUUUUUGGCGCUAAGAGAGUUUACCGGCUAAAGUUAGGGUUGCGCAAAGUCGUCUGCAAGUGAACCAUAAAGAUGAGAGGCUCAAUACAUUCGUUGAGCCCUUAUAGGGGUCUUCUAGGUGGAUUCCCAUUUGAUUAGGCAAAGAUGCAUUUAAAGGACAUAGGCAUUACUUCAAGUAACCGUUAGCACAAACAAGCUUCAACUUCCAAGGGAAACUAGACUUUAUCAUAAUAAGAAAGAGUAGGCACUUCCAACUGAUAUGGGCGAGUAAUCAAACCUCACUGCAGACGCCGGGAAUACAGAUCUUCAGCAGUGUAAAGAAAGGGAAGCUGUGUUUAGUAUAGAGAUUUAGAUAAUAAGAGAGGAAUAGGUUCUUAUGUCGGUGAACAAGUAAGUUGCCCGCUCGCAGGAAUUCAAUCAGUGCCGAGUGUUUCAGUUGAAGGAUCAGAUUGUGUUGUCGGUUAUGAAAGGGAUAGUCUCAUAAGGUUAAAGUAGAAUCGAGGGUGUUGACGCAAGAUCAACUGUAAUUACAUUCUGAAAGCAAGGUACCUAUGCUCUGUUUGUUUACUUGAUUCUUUACUGGGCACUCGAUAGAUUCAAUCUCGAUAGAUUAACAAUCUCGGUAGAUUCCAUUCCGUAUUUGUUUCUUGAUCUUACAGAGAGACUAUGCUAUCUUCCUAUCUUAGCACAGUAGAUUCAAUUGGAUAGCAGAAGACAGGACCAACAGGACUAAGUGUGCUAACGGGAAGCUCGAAAGAUGAAAUUCCAGUUUUCUCGGCUAACGUUGACUUCCUCGGGCAAUCAACAUUACUCCGAUCUUCUGCGCAAGCAAGUUGUUUUACUGUUUUCCUUGGCUUACGUUGAGUUCCUGUUUUUCGGGGUAUACCAUUAUUGUAAUGAGAAGAACUUAGAUGAGCUGCUUGCUUGAUAUGACAGUCCGAGGAUAUACGCACAAGGUAGCGGUGAAAUAAAUUAUGAGUUUGUUGUUGCGCUAACGGGAGGCGAAAUUAGGACUUGUAAUAAGAGGAAAGGCGGACACAGUUAAGCUCCAAAAAACAGGACUUGGCGAAAUUAGGACUUGGCGGACACCUGCCGCUAGUUCUCGCGCGAAAGAAAAGAUCUCUUUUUUCUAUACCUUUUCAGUAGACCAUAAGAGGGGAAAAUGAUAGGUGAGUUUCUCUAUCCUUAUGAAAUUAAGGAAAUAGGAUUCCACUGCCAAUCUCUCUUUCUCCUAUACCAACUCUGUACUAGUUAAGAAGAGAAUACUUCAUUGAAGAAGUGGGAAGAAUUAAGGAACUAUCGAACAGGCUAUCGAACUGGAAUGGGAUGAAUUCAGAUAGAAACCCCGGAAUACUUUAUUUAAGAAAUGGGAAGAAUUCGGGCCAAGACACUCGGGCCAAGGGCAAAGCAACGGCGCAAGCCGCUGCGCGGCAGCAACAGAAUAGAUAUGUUAUAGCCAGUUAUUAACAAGUCCUGUGUUCGCGUUCCGCGGCAGUUGUUUGGCAAUAAGAAACAACAAAUAAAUAUACUAUAUGUUGUUAUUACUCCAGAUGUGUUCGGUGACGCGGUAGCGAGCCCUCACCGGUUUCAGUCUUAUAGUUAGUAGUUGCUUGGCCCUUACUUGUUAGAUGGAGUCUCCACCUCUCCCCACGGCCGCUAAGUCUGAUUCCUAUACUAAUAAGGAUCACACUACUGCUAAAAAGAAGUGAGCUAUUGACCGAACAGGCUAUGACUACUACUUUAGAAGACCUUAACUCAAAACUAGGAACCGCUCACUGCUCUAUCGGAAUGAAACUAGUUCUUAUGAGAAUGAUACACUGUCCACUACGACUCGAACAUUCCCCACAACAAUAAGAGAAUGUAACGGGGGCUAACAGGACUUCAACAAGAAACUUGGGAUUGAGCUAGUUCGGGCAAGGCUUAUACUGUUACUCAAAAGAGUCGAACAAACCAACCAACUAAUAGGCCAUAUGCUCAAGUUAGAGUAUGACUUUCGGUAUGUAUGAUUUUCGCUUAUAUUAACUAUAUGGAUUCAUUAUUCUUUUCACUUAUACUUAUCAUAUUCUAUUUCUAUUCUUUUUAUGGGCAGUUCGAUUAUAUAACCUAGGUUCAAAAGCAGCUCUACUUUGGAUCUUCUUAAUUGUAUCAAUGGAACAGCUCUACUUUGGAUCUUAAUUGGCGCAAUGGAACGCUACGACUUUUUCUUGGAAUUAGGUGAAACAACAGCUCUACUUUUGGAACUCUUAUUUGAGGCUGUUUGUAUGGGUGCGAUGUACCUUCUAUGCACGACCGACCGCCCGUUGACUGAUCUCAUAUUACCACCAAGAUCGAUGCACAUGUGCCUACGCCAUUGUCUGUGUGUGAUGCGCCAAUCUCCUCUGUCUUCUUUUCUUGGUGUGAGUCAGGGAAUAGCUUGUGUUACGCGAUUCGAGAUAUCGUUUUUCUACUACAAAUACAAAUUCCAUUCUAGUAAGAGAACCCAUGUUUUCCGCCUAUAAGGUUCUAGAGGGAAGAUCGAGUUCGUAAAUCCAAAUAAGAAUGAAAGGUAGGAUAAGUAGAAUAGGGCAUGGUAUGAUCCAGCACUGCUAGCGCAUCUAGUCAUAUACUAAUAUUUGAGUCAGCAUCAGAGUAGCACUGAGUAGUCACAGAAUGCAUGGUCCCCCGCCCAGGUCAAAGUAGGGAAUGCAAUUCCUCGGUCUACGAAUGGAAGUUGAAACUUGGACACGAGAAUCAAACUCAUUACUGAAAUACUGGAUCUUACUAGAAUCCAGAAUUGGACUAGUGCUUCUAAGACCAGAGCUGCUGCUUACUAGAAUGAAAACUCAAAAGAACGACUCACUCUUGACUUGCACUCUCCCAAACGCCCCCCAGAUUACGUAUAUCUUAACUCGAUAUCAAACUCAAACUCAUGUCUAUACGCCUUACUUUGCUAGGCACCGACUUCUACUUGUUCCUAAGAGUCUCACUUGCUAACUGGCAUUCCAUAUCCCAUCCUCGAACUACUUAUUUGCAUUCUAUAACAAUAACUUUGGAGCCUUACUUCCAGGGGAUAAAGUACUUGAGACUUCUUUCUUGCUUCCUGACUUCUGAGAUUGAGCCUGACGUUACUUGAUCUCAGGCCAACUACCUUUGUUUUCAUUCCAUUCCAUGAGAGACGAACCUAGAUCUGUCACUACAAACUAUCAGACAACAGCUCGAAACAAAGAUUAACCACCUACCUAAAAAGACCUUCACUAAAAAGAAAGAAGCUAACUCACUUGGGUUAGUAUACCUUUCCUGUCCCUGGGUCUCCCGCUCCCCAAUUGAAAACUUGACCACCCUUCUCUUAUUCUACAACACCUGACUCGCAUUCUGCCUACCCGGGGCCAAAACCCUUGCUUGACUUUAUCUCAGUCCGCCUUUACUAACAACCAUGCUUACUACCUUUGCUAUAAAACAAUAACUCCCGUCUACGCGCCUGUGACUACUAUACUACCAAUAAGACUGAAACUACCUACUUCAAUGCCUAGGUUGUCCCUUCCCAGCCUGCCCAUUAGUAAGAAACCAAUGUCACCUAGAUAAGAAACCAAUCUAAACUAGAUAAGAAACCAAUCUAAACCGGGCUUACCUUACUAGCUCUAAUCCUUACUUUAGCUUACCUUACUAGCUCUCAUCCUGACUUUUGACUGGCAUAUUAGCCUUUCCGUACUAAACUCAUUACUGUAGUUCGCCUACGAUCCUCCUACUAGAAACUCUUAGAUUGAAACUGCCGCUUAUCACUCUUUAGCUCCUGUAUCUCUGCCUAGCUAUCAAACGAAAACUCCGACUUCCGAGGCUAAACCCACAGCUAACAAGGCUAUAUAGCUUGAAACCAGGGCUUUCACCGCUGCUGAGGGCUGCUAACUCUCAUUCUUUAACCACUGACCUCGAAGCACCAAGUAACUGCUAAUGUGUAGCGGUAGCUUCCCCCUAAAGCCCUAACGACGAUUCUGAUUACCCUGCCAAUUAGUAUGCCUUUACUUGUUUUGAUUCUUCAAACGACAAUUAUUAGGCUGUGCCUCUUUGCUUUCAUUCCCGCACUUCUUAGGGGAAGUCUACCACCUUGCCAUCCAUAGAAGAGAGCCUUACUUUGAAUGUACCUGGGCCUUGCCUUACUGACCUGGAACCUUGCUUUGUAGCUUCAAAAUACCUCUCCUUUUCUUGGUUCUGACUUUCCUGGUUCUCCGCCUGUCACCCUAGGGGCAUCUAUUAGAAUUACCUUUCUCAAUUGGUCUGCCCUUACGGAAACUCAUUCUAUUGCUAUUGUUAAAGAAAGCAACAGUGAAGUAGAAGAAUGAAAAGAACAAGUAUCAGAAAAGAACUCAUUUGCUUAUAAUAAAAGAAGUAGACCUAGCAGUCCAAACCUAACUUACUACCCUAUCGCUCCUGCCCCAAAGUAUUACUUGCCUAGCCCUCAUUCCAAUACUAGCAGUAGCUGUUUCAGUUUCAAGAUCCGAAGCCUUAUCAAAAGGAGUUGGCUAAAGUCCAGGUCUAGGUAAGGAUGCUACCUGUGCUACUACUGCCGGGCAAAAGUGUGCUACCGGGCGAAAGUCUGCUACCAGUGAUCGUUUAAUACCGAGACCAAGUUGAAGUAAGUGUUAUCCUUUUGAAAGAGAAGAUAUCAUUUAGUACGGGGCAAGCAGCCGACAAGCAGGAAAGAUCCCGAAAUGGAACUUUAUAGGAGCGGCGAGUGGGACAAUAAGUGACGUUACCUACUUCCGGCGUUUCACCCAGGACUUGUGCAUGUCAACUCAACUACUUGGAAUUGAUCGAGCGAGUAUAGAUUGGAGUCAACAAGCCUACUUCCCUUUCUUUUGCUUCAAAACAAAGACCAGACUUUCCACUUCAAUAAUGAAUAUCGGCUUUGUAACUCCCGAAAACAGGACUUGCACAAGGUACUUUUUAGCAUCAGCUUCAGCAGUUUCUAAUUCUGUCUGAUCUUCUUUCUUUAGACGAUGAAAGUCAAGCACUAUAAGAGAAGAGUCAAAGUCAAUAGCUCUCGUAGACUUAACGAGCACCGGCACUCGAACCUCUUUCGCAGACAAAUAAACAAGACUGGAAGAAGUACCGACAUAAGCACCGGUAUCGGCGUAAAGACAUCUGACAAUUGAACUGCCUCUGAUCGCCACCCCCGAUCUGAAUGAUUAUCCUUCUUUCUAUACCAGUUGGAUCUUCCGUUGGGCAUUCAAAAAGAGAUUCUUCCCGAACUAGACUUGGACCACACCUCGCAUCAAAGCUUUUAAGCGGAAGUCUUGGCCAGUCCGUUCCCGGGUAAUAGUAAUAGUCAGAACGAAGAGUUAGAACUAUAAGAUUAGGCUUCUAGUAGAGUAAGCGCAGACGGCACAGUUCCUUCUUUCAUUUUUCAAUAGUGGAGUUUUUGAAAGAAAUAGUAUGCGCAGACGAGCCGGCACCGGUCUUUAUGUUGGGUUGGGCUUUUCUUUUGCCUACCCCAGCUCUAUCCAUAGCAACUACGGGGAAUAAGUCUAUCAGCGACCUUCCACUUAUGAUUCACCAACUUUCCUUUUGGAUUUCUACUUCACAAUAUACAAACAGCUUUUAUGAAACAUCUGGUCUUGGAGAGCCCUUCCACCUUAAUAUGAGUUCUUUCCACUUAUUAAUGCGCCUUUCAAGAUACAUUUCUAGAUGGAUUGCCCACCGAAAGUUCCAUAUAUAAAGGCUAAAGGGUUGUCAUCGACGUUGACAAAAGAGCCUCCUAAGGUUGGUAGUUGGUUUCUUUUAGUUUCAAGCAGAGCUCGGGCUUCUUCCGGAGGGCAGCUAUAAGACCUUUCCUUUCCCCUCUCAGCCGAGCGAUGUGUAGCAAGUGUCUUUCUUGCCUUUCUGAUUUCAUGUUUCCCCACAUUCACACGGUCUUGGAACAUGGUGAAUGCUACAUAUAGAAAACAACAAAGAGUAAUCAAAUACCUGAGUCUAGCUCCCUUACUACUUACAAAUAAUGGGAAAGAAGAAAUGGGUAGAGCAACAUUCUGCACUGACCGUCAAGACGUGAGAAUUCAUGAUUGCGCCAGCCAAUUAGUCAUCUUCAUAUUAUCAUGUGCUAAUGGUUGGGGGAACACCCAAGCUUUCUCGAUCAAUAUAGCAGUCAAAUUUCCCCUCUCCCCGAUCCAUGCUGUCUUUAGAAGCCCUUAUGCCGACCCCGUACUGAGGAGUCUGCAUUUCAGAACCAGCAGCUAUCUCCAAACCUUACCCUCGAAAGAAUUUAGUGGUUACGGGAUCCUCCAGUGGGUCAGGUCCAAAACUCUCUUUCCCUACGGAUUUAAGGUACGGGGAAUCUGGAUUAUUAGCCCUAUGAAUCUAUGAUUUCUUAUUAGUAGAGCACUAUGAAUUGAAUCUAUGAUUUCUUAUUAGUGGAGCACUAUGAAUCUAUGAUUUCGCGCACCCACCCAGGCACUGGAGAAGGCUUAUGAUUUGUGGAAGGAUCACGGCACUGGAGAAGGCUUAUGAUUUUGAAGGAUCACCUCAACCUAGAGUAGCAACAUUCUGAUAUAUCCCUAAAACUAACAAAAAAACAUGGUUAUCCUCGUUCUAACCCGAAUCCUACUUCUUUCUUUCUUUCCAUGGAAGAUUGGAAAUUUCGAAUUCGGAAGGCGGGGUACUGGGUACUUUAGGAUUUGUUCUUUGAAGAAAGCCGAAAAGACAGAACUUUCCUCGGAAAUAGUAGGCUGCUUUUGUGCUUUUUUCGGAUAGCUUAGCUUGUGAGAUACUCCGAGAGCUCUCGAAUAGGAGAGAAAAGAAAGCUUGUUGCCCAUUGUAAAAGCUUGAACACUUGCCAGCUAUAGGAUAUACUCAAAUGGGAGAAGAGAAUACAGAUAGAGGGAUUGAGUUACUGGCCCAUAGACAGAGACUCCAUACCUAGCAUACAUACCUAUUUAUUAGUCCGUAGCUUAGGACUUGAAGAAAUCAAAGAGCUAGAUUCGCAACUGCUACGCCAACGGAUUCUAUUCCCACAGCAUCUAAGCUUUCUCCCCUUGGCCAGCUUGAAAACACACUUUGGAUGCAAAAAAGAAACUAACAACUUACACUGCUACUCUAAAAGUAAGGGAUAUGUGAGAAGCUAUUGACUCUGGAAUCUUAGGUGGGCCGGUUAUUUAGAUAUAUUGACUAUAGGGCUAUUUCAUAGGGGUUUCUCUUUCGUCAAUCUUACGCGCAACCAAUUCUCUUGUCUGUAACCCUCUAUCAAUGCACCCUAUGUGAAACUAGUAAAGGAACUCUUUAUACCAUGGAUGUCGGGAACCAUCAUUCAGAUGGAUUCACCCACACCUCGCUUUUCGGCUAAAGUGUUAUUACCAGAACCUAAAGCGGCUCUCGCGGGUAUUAACUUAGCUGCCCUGCCAUUAUUGGUAUUCAUGGGAGUGCUAGACCAUACAAGGUUAUUAAACAUAUUCCAUUGCUAGGACCAUACUAGGUUAUUAAACAUCUUCCAUUGCUAGACCCGGCCUAAUAGGUACUUCUACUUUCUUACCAGGAUAGGAUCAUCAUUAGUAUUAGUACCAUCCCCACUUGCCUAAACAAAAGCAUUUAGAAAGGCUAUAAAACGAACAAAGGAACUGGCCUUAUAGCAGAAGCGAUACUUGCGCUUGCCCCUCUUUGCCUACUUGCUUGCCGGAUCCUGAGCUAGCUUACUUCCUUUAUUCUCUUCUUUAGCCUAUUAGGGGAUCAUCAAUAUGCAAUACUCCUUCCCCAGCCAGCAAUAGUCAUUCCUGACCUGGAAAUGGAUAUGGGCGCUGCGAGCUUGAAAGAGUAGGCAUCAAAAUCUCACUCCUAAGAAUCAAUUGGUGAAACUGGCCCAUAGUAAGACUUAUACUAGAGCACGCACCUCUAUUUUAGACUCCCUCCUUCCUUUAUCCCCCAUUCUUUUACAUAAACCUUCCUUUAUUCCCCAUUCUUUUACAUAAAUGAAGUAAUAAUAAAGAGAUAGACUUAUGGGAAUUAAGUAAUAAUAAAGAGAUAGACUUAUGGGGACGGUGAAGCAGAUACUUAUUUCUUCCAUAGGCGCAGGAAAUCCACACCAAAAUCCAGUAAUUUGCUCAUUCACUUACGAGAAGGAAAGCUACUCGGUUGAGAAUCUUCAGAGGAACUCACUAACCUGGCCCGAGAGUCAAAAAAGGAACUCCCACGAUAUGGUAACACUGCGCUCGAAGUCAGGAUCAAUAUGUGAGAGGCAGGGAAAAAGAGUAUCUGGACUUUCCUUAAACUGGCACCGAGGAAACCCUCUUAUUAUUUACAUUCCUUGCCCGGUGAUAGAACUUUCAUUAUUAUGUAUCUUCUGUUUACCUUGGAGUUGAAUUCUAUUCUGCUAAAUACAGAGAGAGUUCCAGAAGUAGGAGCAUAAUCAAGAUCUUCAGCCGAAUCGAAAGAUUCCAUUCCAUGGUUUACUUCAGCCUUAAUUAAGUAUCCAGGUCCUGUUAUAGUUGUUGGCUUAGAGUCUCUUUCUGUUCGCCCAGUUCAAGAUCCUAUUGAAUAAGAAGUGAAGCGGGAGAAGGAUAAGUUCGAGUGUUGUCUACUUGUUCUGUUGAAGAAUCAUCAUAAAGUCACAGGAUUUGGAAGCCCUAAGUGAAUGAGUAGAGUCUCGUAGAAACCCAGUAAUUAGAGAAUCAGAGGAAUCUUAAGGAGAAGGGGCCGAAUCCGAAUCCAAAGAUUCAAUAAAAGGUUGACAAGGCAAAAAGGGAAAGUUAGCUGCUCAAUUGCUAUUCGUAUAUUAGGAUGUGCAUCAAUUCUGUUAAGAAAUUUAUGGUUAACUUGACUUUAGCUCUCCAGAAUCAAUUCCUUCCUGAUGCACGAUAUCUUCCUAAAAUAAGUAUCUUAACGGUGCGAGUAGCUACGUUGCUUGUCUGCUUGGCCCGUUAGCGAGUUAGCACUUCCAUUCUAUUCCAAAGAUGGAUCUUCCGCAGGUCAUUUUAUUCCAAAGAUAUAGGUUUAGGAAGUAGAGUUCCAGUUCGUUCUUAUCUUAGCUAUGUCGAACAGAGGUCUGACUAAGCAAUCUCCCUACUGCAUAGAUUCCAUUGGGUAUAUUGGCAUAACAUAAGAAGAUGAAAUUACCUAUUGGUAUACUUCCAAAUAUCCCGAUUUAUUGUAAUGGUUGUUAAUGCUUGACAGAGGUCUUGGCUUCUAUAGAAUUAAGUAACAACACCAGAAACCAUAAAGAAAGAACACGCUACAAAGCUCAAAGAAAGGGGCUUCCCACUCACAAUAGGGAUAGCUGGAUCCGGGUUAGAAGCAACUGAAUUAGAGAAAAAAAGCUGUAUUAAGAGAAUCAGUAGCGCCGAGCCGAGAGAAUCUUUAGCACAUCUAUAACGCGAAAAACAGGACUCGUUUAAGAGAAUCGACUCUCUUUUCUCAGCGGGUCCAUGCUAUUAUUGCUCUAGAGCAUCUGGUAUAUAAGGUAGUAAACACACAGCACCCCUUCCCUUUAGCUUAGAGUCAAGGAAAACAUCAAUGAAAACCACUGCAAACUCGUAGAACUCCGAUAGGUACCUAACAACCCGACACCAAACUAUGGAUUUGAUUCAGUAUAUCGUCUUUUGUCUCCUUUCCUCGCACCCCAAGAGUAUAGUAUAGUUUACUUUAAAGCACAGCUCAUUCUUGAGUAUAGUUGGCACAGCUCAUUCUUGAGUUUAGUAGAGUGGCACUUUCCUCAAACUGGAACAAUACUAUCAUCUGGAACUAUACUUACAUAUCAAGCUUCCUAACCUUAUCCUACUUUUUAUUGGCUUCCAUCUAAAACGAAACUGUAAAAAACCUCCACUGGACUAAAAGGAGUACCUUCAAUUAGAAAUUCCACUAAGCAAGAAACAAACAGCCCCGCCCUGACUCUAAGUAAGAGAAUCCAUCUAGCACAUGAGAGAAAAGAGUCACCUAACCUACUAACUCAUUUAUAGCUUUUUUAGGGGAAUUUGCCUAACGCGCCACUCACUCGAUGAAGACCCAGCUCCCGCUUUUCAGAUCGAGUCGAUGUCUACUUUCCAUCUUCCGCUUAUAAUCCAUCUCUUGAUCCAGCAUAUUAUUGAGCCUCUGAUUCUAUAGCGGACAAUCCUUACUUUGCUCCAGAUCUUUGUAAGGCUUCCUCUUAUCUACCGACUUGGAGCUACUGCAUCAAACUGUUAUUUAGUUAUGAAUUUGUCCGGGUAGUCCUAGUAGGAAAUUCCAUUCUGGUAGUCCUAGUAGUCAAUUCCAUUCAGAAUAAGGGGACUCAAUAGCACAUAUUGAAAUAGAAUAGGUAACCUUCCAACCAUUAACUCUUUAUCGCCAACACUGUAGGGGCUCUGUCAAGGAGAGGACUCGAAAAGGAAUCACAUAAACUUAAUGUCCCCGCUCCAGCUAAUUAGAGAGGUUGUGUUAUUGAGGUCGGGUCGGGUGCGAGUUAAGCUAUAGGGUAAGUUCUCAAGUCAGGUUAUAACCGAAAUCAGUAACAAUCAGUCAAAUCGGUCAUAGCUAAAUCUCAAUUAAGAGUGAGAGAGAGGCUUUGUUGCGAGGUCGGCAAGGGGACAGCCAAUCAUUGAAUGCGCUAGAUCUAUCUCAAUUGCUAUAGUAUUCAUUUAUCUAUGAUAACCCUCAGGCUCUCCCGCCAAUGAUUAUGUUUCUUCUGUUUAAACUGCAGUUGAAGGCUAAUUGUGCUGUUUAUUCCGAUAUACUCGAUUCACACUUUAGAACUACUGAGCAUACUCUACUUAAACACUCGAUUCAUUUGGAAUUCUCUCUUAUCUCCAGAAAGAAAGUGGAGUCGGAACCCCUGGGAAACUUCCUGCCCAGGACUUAGAGAACUAUCUUGUUGCUUUGCCCUAUCGAAGAGCGGAGAUUGUGAUUCCAUCUAAAGAGCUCACUAUUUCAAGGUUUAUUGCUAUCAUUCCAUACUCCAUCUUUUUAUUGUCCCCGUUUGAGUAUGCCGCUCAGUAGUCCCUUACCUUAGUAGGAGGGAAAGUCAAAGGAAAGGAGGAUUAAUUCACGGAUGCCCUGCCCCUAGCCCUACCAUGGAAGAAGGAUUCUAUAGAGCCGCCCUAUUGAGAAAAACAAUAUGAGCCUAAGGCCAAGGAGGACUCAAUACCAUAAGAAUCAAAGAGCUAAAAAAAGAGAAAGUAGAGCGCAAAGGAAAGAAAAAGGUGAACUGGAGCUCCAACUGGUUUAGCUUAAGACUAGAGAGGACUCGGCUGGACCCCUUUGUUAUAUUCAUUGUAUGGGGACUUACUGUGCUCUUAUUUACUUAUCUAUUGUAUUGUAUAGACAGUGUUCUCUUAUUUACUUAUUCAUUGUAUGGACGGACGUGACUGUACUUCUUAUGGACUUACUCAUUGUAUGGACUGUGCGUGCCCUAUUAUUUAGAUUCUCAUAGUUAUCUCAUUCUUAUUACCCUCUCAUCAGUUAUUCUCUCGUAUGUAUCUUGUCCCGGGUACAGCUCCCUAACCUGCUCUUUCAACUCCAUUCAGCCAAGCAGACAAGUAGGCAAGUCAAAGAAAUUAGGGUUGACUGCCCCUUAUAGUACUAUAGUGAGAAUUCCGGUAUGAGGUAUAGUAGCCUUAGUUAGCUGAGAUUGAGUAUUGAUUGGCUUUACCGUGGUCUCCAAGCAUUAAGGUUCAGGUAAGGCUUAAGAGGAAGUAAGGAUGCCCGGCAGGAAUUUCAGGUGUUGGAUCUAAGCCUUAGAGUGGAGAUGCGCAAUUGGAUAAAGAAUAGCUAGAAUUAGAUUAAGGAAUGGCAGAUCAAUAGGGAGUCUCUAAAGUCUUCUUUCCCAGUUGAAGUAGUCGAAGUACUUUUUGAUUCUAUCAGUUAGCAGCUCAAUUACAUCGACCCUGUUCCGAGUUGAGUUCACUGAGUUUCAUUGAAUUCCUGGGUCUGUAGUAGUUGCUUGGCCCUUCCCGCUUAUCUAUCUUACAAAAGAUGCAAUUUGUUCUGAGGCGUUAAGUUAUGCCUGUUCUUGUUUAAGAAGCCGUUCCGAAUUGACUUAAUAAGAUGCUUUAAGAGAAUCAGCAGCAGCCCCCAUAAGAUGCUUUAAGAGAAUCAGCAGCAGCCCCCGAAAACAGAGGACUUACUCCAGGCGAAAACGAAACAGGUUUUGUGUCUUUACUUGUAUCUACACCACAUGUGAAAGAUAGAGAUAGAUUCAAUUCAUCAAGAAGAUCCUCAGCGCUCGAAACUGCUUAUUUGAAUGUUUUCCUCGUCUAAACAAGUCCUGUUGCUUCUGUCUAUAAGUCUGCAAGUAAAGUAGAAAGUCCGCUUACAGCUAGAUUCUUUCAUUCAUAUUACAGCUAGAUUCUUUCAUCUAUUAUCUCAUAUGCGAGGAUUUGAUUAAAGGGGCUCAGUCUAACAGGCCCAACUCUGCCUUGUUUGUGGUUUCCUGCAAGUUAAGUAGAAAGUAGAGUAUCUCGUGUAAGUAUAUCGUUUGAACCCUUAUAGUUGUAUAGUAGCUCCCGUUAGCGAGUUAUGCCGACGCUUCUAUCUAUGAUUACACAAUAACUCCACGAAACUACAAGGACUGUAAGCGCCAAGAGUUUGCCUUUUGCUAAGUUCCACUCAUCAAAUGUGGGCACCCGCAUCUUCACUGAACCGACCCAAACUUGACUACUCGGGAAGGUAAAGCACCCGAACUCAUGAACUUUCUGAACUGACAACACAAUAGAACCUCUCUCCACGACACCGCGCAUCAAUUGGACGACUUAGAUCACUUAGCGCUUCUAUAGGAGAUGAACUAAAGCCAACUCCUCUCUCGUAGCACCUAGCAAAGACUCAAUCUUUCCUCUUCUCUUGCCUCUUCUCUUGUAUUGCCUCUGAUCUCGUAGACCUAACUAACCCGGCUUCCGCUCUUUAGAACUCUACUUUCCUGUCAUUGCUACUGACGACUUAUCUAUAUCUUUCUUCGUAUUAAAGAAGUAAGUAACCAACCAUAGGCUCUUUCUCCAAAGUCAUCACCUUCCAAUAAGCAGUUGGAUAGACCCACAAGCAAUUGCAUGUAUUCGACAUUAGUAUAAGCCAACUCCGUAAGGCAAGAAAGAAAGAAAGUAGAGGUGGGAAGGAAAGAUCAUCUGCAGUACGCGGGUAGGGUCAUAGUGUUCUCUGUUGCUGUAGAAAGAUAAUGAGCAAGCCCAGACUCAUAGGUUAGGGCGUGAGGGAAGGAAUGAACAAAAUGUGCUCCGUUCUGAAGGACACUUUCUCCUUUCCCAUAGUGAUAGUAAUGACCUCCUUUCCCAUAGUGAUAGUAAUGACCUCUUAAGAUAGAAUGACUGAGUAUAAAAGGUAAGGUAAGGAAAUCCCAUCUCCUCUGUAUUCCAAUUGAAAAGCAGGUCUUAAGCCAGCAUUGAGUUCCUCCGGACUAAAGGAUUACUGUAGCUUUCUUUACAUUCUCGUAAGCACAACCAAACUAUUCCCAUUCCUUAAGCUCGCUAGCAUACCGUCUUUCUAGCUUGAAUAGUGAAAAACGAGCAUCUAUCUUUGUAAAGAGAAAGGCUCCUCCUGAUCUUGGGAAGAAGAAUCAAAGUAGAGCGAUAUGCCCCAAAUAGUCCGUUAGAAUGAGUCAAUGGAAUCGUCUCGGAUCUUCUCUGGCUACAACUACUGAUGAAACUAAACUAAACUACUACUCGUUUGGGCAAGAACUAGACUUUCCACGCCUACCUCGUCUCUUUGAACUCCCCCUCGCAACUUUGAGCUAGAGCACCAACAACUGGAUUACCAGGAACUUCACCUUACCCAGUAGCAGUGAAAUCUCAUAACAGUACUAUCGGGAUGAAACCAGCUCUGACCCUUAAACUUGUAGUUUCGUAGUGACUUUCUCCUUGUAUUGACUGGAAAGAAGAGAACAGAUGAGCCACAGGUAGAUCAGCAGAAUCACUAGACGUUACUCGCCCGCAAUCUCAUAAGGGAUCUUUUCUUCUUACUAACUCUCUUGCUCUGCUCUUGACGAGACUCCGGUCUUAGAAUUAUCUACCCUGGCUAAUGAAUCUGUUUACUCUACCAAGUCCGCGAGAGCUAAGCCUCUGAUUCCUUACCUGCUCUUGCAACUGCUACUACUGAUUCAUUCCCAUUUGACUAAUUCCGAGUGGUGUGGAGAUAUAGGUUAUAAUGUUCGAGGCUUUGAUGCGCUAAGUUAAUGCCCAGUUACAGUUUACAGUGGAGAAUUGCCUGUUACAAAAGAAGAAUCAGAAGAUGAACUAAUACAGGAAGAAUGAAAUUGACUACCUAAUGAAAAUGAAUAAGACAAGUAAGUAAGUAUUAGACUCCUUGAAAGUAGCGAGGGUUGGCAGUUAGGAAUAAAUCCAGUCUAGAAACUCCCUUCCGAGGAAGCCGGGGAAGGUAAUAAGAAAGUACAGCCUUUGAGGCCUGGCGAGGUAUCUUCACUACUUUUCGGGUCCUGGCUAGCUGUUAGGGGAAGAAAUGUAGUCCAGGCCCAGACUCAGUGGAAGGAGAAUCCGCAUCAGUGGUUGUAGCCAGAGGAGAGUUAGAUUAGUAUAGGAGUCAGAGCCAGAGCAGAGCCAGCAGCUUGUUUCCUUCUUAUUAGUAGUGGUAGAUAGGUCGGGUCGGGAAGCAGUUUAGGAGGUGGUCAAGUAGGAGUGGAAAGGAAGCCUUAGUGAGCUCCUAGGGGCAGAAUCCAAUCUCCAGGAAUAAGCUUGAUAAGCUGUUUCAAGAGAGGCACAGGAUCUGAAGAAUCAAUUCCUUCUGCUGAAGCGCGGUGAAGUGUAGCUCUUGGGGAAUCCAUCAAGUCCAGGACCUAUAUAGGUAGGAAAAAGGGAGUUCCUGAGUGAAAGGGAAUAUUCUUGCAAUUGAGUCCGGUCGAAAUGCAAAGUAAGAGGAAAUCCACUUUCUGUAUUUGAUCCUUACCUUACUUAGCUCCCUUCCUUCUUUCUGUAUUUGAUCCUGACUUUACUUAGCUCCCUUCCUUCUUUCUUUCUACCCUUAAUGAAACAUUAGGAACAAGACUACAACUGCGGAGGGAGUUUCAAGAGCAAGUCCAUUUGCUUAUUCUGCUGACUCACCCCCUACUUCAAAGAACGAUUUUUCUGCUGACUCACUACAAUAAGAACUAAUUGAUGCAGCUUCCUUAGUUUACUUAACUUAAUAAUAUCAUCUAAGUGAAGCACCCAUCCCUAAGCAGCUAUAUACUUGGCUAAUGCUAUAGUCUUGUGCAACACCACUAACACGCGCAACACCACUAACACACCCCGAAACUAAAGAAUAUCAUUGAGUGCCACACAUGAUAGAAACAUAGUAAUAACAUCAUAUCAUACUUAUUGCUUAUAGAAACAUAGUAAUAACAUCAUAUCAUACUUAUUGCUUAUAGAAGAUAGGCCAAAGCUUGUUCUGUUGCUUAUAGAAGAUGGGCACCCCUUGCCUUGAAAGUCCAAGAAUAUGAUAUAAGAGGGUCCUUGAAAGCCAAAGAAUAUCGACACCUGCCACUAUAACCACUAUAACCAAUAUAAUAACCACUAUAACCACUAUCACUAUAAGAAUUAGCUCACUUUAUAGGGCUUGUUUUAUUUAGUGCAAGAGAAUGUGGGUUUCAUUUAGUGCAAGAGAAUGUGGGCACAGUGGAAAAAGAAAGGAAAGGGUAGAUAUAGAUACAUUGCACUGACAUAUAUGAUGAUCUCAGUAUAGAUAUAUGAUGAUCUCAGUAUAGUAAGUAGUAACGGCACUCUUGAUUCUAAGCAUACUCCUUAUUCUAUGCUCUAAAACUAUCUAAGCAAACUUUCUAAGCAAACUAUCUAAGCACACUCCUGUCCUAAUUAUAAGUUAGUUAGUUCAAAACUCCUUCUUCCCCCUUGCGCUUACGCUUAUUGUUGUUCGGGGCACUAGCACUUAUUCGAGUUCUGUUUGCACGUUAGCGAAUUCUACUUGUGUUCCUUUUUUUGUAAGAAUAUCUUAUUUAUUGGCAGCUUCGCCCUAUCUAUACAAUCAAUAUGGUGAGUACUCUCUUUAUUGGCAGCUUCGCCCUAUACAGCGUAGGACAGAUACACCGUUCUCACUUAUGGAAUUUCUAGAGACACCGUUCUCACUUAUUUCUACUGUGUAGGACGGAGACACUACUAUUGCGUAGGACAGAGACACUACUAUCCCUCACUUUACUAACUCACGUUAGCCCUUGCUUGCUUGUUUUAGUUUCACACCCCUAUACAACUCUAUGCUUACAGCUUGUUCGUUCCCUUGCUUUAAUGAUUUUCUUAGUUUACCCAUUAUGUCAUUCAGGCCUAACCUCCGUCAGUGUAAUUCCCAAUAUGAGGCUUAAGAAAGAUAGACUGCUUAGGCUUAAGAAAGAGAGAACACCUGCUUAAGGCAGACGAACCUAUAAACAUCUUACAUGCAGGCCGGAGGCAUAGUUUAGAGAAUAUAGAUGUAGUUUCAAGACGAGAGAUAUAGUUUAGAGAAUAUGGAUGUAGUUUAGAGACGAGAGGUGGAGACGAGAGAUGUUGUUAGGAUAGCUAUUUACGGGUGGUACCUAUUUCUUAGAGGGUAUAGCGAGAUAGUCUAGCGAAAGUUUAGGGUGAACUCACUAACGCUAGGCAGGCAGCCGAACCCUGAACAAGAGUCAAUCAAUUUGAUUGUUCCAUCUCUGAACAAGAGUCAAUUCUGUUUCUUGUUCCCUCCUUUUUGAAUGAGAAUCCAACUAGGAGGAAUUCCAUCAGUGUCGAGUCGAGUGUUUACUGUGAAAUCGGUUCUUCAAGCCUCAUCUCCUAUCUUUUCUCAUGCCCACGUAGACUAUGCGGUGUGUGAAGCAUCUCUGGACUCAGUUUGCGUGUCUCUUUACUCUGUUGUGUGCUUAUAUUCCUUUUGAAGCUCGGUUCGGUUCUGAAAGUGGAGUUGAAUCGUGUGGUUCAGUUGAAAGAGAGGAAGCUGUAGUAGAUUCAAAGUAAGGAUCCUGGAUGAAGUGACUAUAUAACAAUAUAUAGUAUUUGUGUGCACUAGAUCAGGCUCCCUCCCCAAGUAGGACUUUGAUUAUUGUACUUACUAUUAUAAGCCUUAUACUAACUUACAUCAUACCAUUAGUAUCAGCCAACAAAGCCAACUACUCUACCUCAAUUCGAACUUGUAUAUUUGUCCGUGCUUGUAGAAGCCCUUGUUACAUCCUUUACAGUAGUCAUUUCUGCCUUUAUUUACUGUCUCUCAAACUUCAAACUCCGGGUUUGAGUCUUGCUUGUAAGUGUGAGCUUGCCUUGCAUUCUAUAUCUCUUGUUUAAAACGGACCCUCCUUGCUUCGUUCCUGCAUUGGGAGUUUGCCCCAGCUACACUCUUUCGAUCCGGAUCUUCGCUCUACUAUAUCUUAAGCUAGCACUCCGGCGCAUCAGGCUUACUUUCAAACCAUCUCUCUCCUCAAAACAAACCCGUUUCUUAGCCAACUGAGCAACUAAUAUCACUCUGUAGCUCCCCUGCGCUUAGUCUUACUUUAAUAGCGAGCAUUCUCCCUAUCCCUUUGCCUUAACUCUUUAGUUCGGAGAUCCACUAGGCUUACUAUCUUGACUUUGCUUCUAGGACUACAGAUAUGGAUCCUUUAACAAUAGUAAAUAGGAGAAAGGAGCUACUGACAGGCAGACCUUCCCUACUAACUAUUAGAAUCGAACACUACCAAAAAGAAGAGAACCAAAAGUCAGACUGAAACAAAGAACUAGGACUUACCCCGCUAACUGGGAAUACGCUCCUGCCACGUGAAUCAAACUCCGCGGUAGAAGCAUCAAACUGUAGAGGAGUACCCGAGCCCGAACCUUGCUUUUCACACUUCCACUAUGGUAUCUCUUUCUUUUACUCCGGGUACGAUGUAGUACAUCUACUAUAUUAAUAGGAAUAACCUAAUAGGACUAGAGAGUAUGGGUAUGAUCUAAAGCUCAGUAAUAGUAAUAUCAUAAUAGUAAUUAAUAUAUAAUGAUUGUUUCCAGAGCGUAGUAAGAGAAUCAUUGGUGAAUUUGAACUAAACAGUAAAUCGAAGGAAUAAGUCAAAGAAUACGAGUUAGGAGCGGGCAAAGUUCACUACAGAUUUGAGGGCAAUAGUCUAAGUUUAAGAUAGAGGAAAGUUGGACUCGAGCUAACAGGCGCGAUGUGAGAUCUGUGGUUGAAUUACCAGUUGGGAGCUACAGCGUUGACAGUAGUGCAAUUCCUUAUUAAAAGCUUAAUGCUGAGAAUCAGUAGUCAUAGGCUAAGAGAAGGAGAUACUAAAACAUAGGCAUUGCGUGGACAACUACAAGAGCGAGCCCGAGGCAAGUAAUAAUAAAUGAAUGUCAAGUCGGAGUCAAAAUCCACCCCCAAAGUGAGGAUACAGUGAGGAGGCUCUGUAUAGAAAUAAGGACAGAAAGGAGGAUACGUCUACAGGAGAUGUGACUACUGGGUUUAGUGACUAUUGGGCUUAGCUCUGGUUAUGCCCUACGCCGACAUGGCCCAAAGUAAGUGAUGGUAACUACAACUAUACUUUAAUAAGAAUCAGAAAUCAAGUCAAAUAAUCAGAAAUCAAACUAACAAGCGAGGCUCUAAGCAAGCAGAGGGAGAAUAAAGGUAAAGGUAGUAAGCCUGCGAGACAGGAAAGCGAGGCUCUGGGUGGUUAGUAUAAGAAGGCCUGUUUUGCAGGGUAAGGCCCAUAGUAAGUAGUAGCUCAAUCCCUUGUUGGUAGUGUGUUUCUUCUUUUAGGCAUGGGUUUCUUUUUAGAGUCCGUAGUCGCAUGCUAACAAUCAAAUAAUACAUAGAAUCCGGGUAAUCUAGUUCCAUUCUUUGAGUAGUACUGCUCAGCGUAAUCAGCUUUAAGUGCAGUAGCGAAAGUCCCUGUUCCGAGUUGGGUUCGCCUAGUUGGAUUCCCUUUCUCUUUGUUCCAUUAUUAUAGGAGUCGUUUCUUUUGUCUGUAGCAAUAGGAGUCGUUUCUUUUGUCUGUAGCACUGGGUGAAGUCUGUCUGCGCUCUCAACAAAUACGGAAUUGAUCCUAUAGGGCUUAGCAUCUAGCGCACUGGAAAGUCAAAGUGAUGUAAAUAUCCAUAUUCUAAUGAGAAAAGGAAUAGACCUUUUGAGUAUAGUUUCGCAUAAAUAACUAAUUGAUAUUAUAUAAAUGACACUGAAUCAAUACAGGAAAUACUUUCAAUAAGGAAUGUCAGGUCUAGUUCUGUGCGUAAAUGCGUAAUGGAAGGUCUAUAUCGGUGCUAUCUCAACUCUUUAUUGGAAGUUCAAGUGUAUUAAAGCACUAUUCACAUUCCCGGCCUAGAGUAUAAGAGAAAAGAAUAACAACAAAAGAGAGAAUUCAAGCAGAGGUAGUAAGAAUAAGAUAGAGGACAGCUUUAGAUGAAGGUGUAGUUAUAUAGCCUUAAAAGCAGUAGAGCAAGCCCGAGAUCGAGUCAUGGCAGUUCCAUAUGUGAGUUUGGGUGUGAGGUCUGAUGGGCAGUGCUUCUAUUCUGUGUACAUCAGUGAAAGCUUUGUUAGCCGCAGUUGAGUUUCUUAGUUCGAAUCCAAUUCUAGUAAUAGUAGUGAUGCUCUUGUUAGCGGUGGGUUCGGUUCAGUCAGUCUCAUAUAUAGCAGUUUCAGAAUUGAAGAUUGAUGACGCAUAGUCAGAUUCCAAGUGCCGGCAGCAAGACUAACAGGUGAAAGAAAUACUUUAGGGCGGUUAGAGGUCAGCAGGGGAAGUUUUCAACAAAGAAGUCAGCACCCCCGUGAGCAACUACAGACUGAAGUCCAAGAGAGAAAGACCUAUAGACGGGAAAACAAGGCUCUAAGCAAGGGCAGCGUCAGCAGCGAUGGCUCGAGCUGCAGAACUCAAGUAAUCCUUUUAAGAAUAGGGGACUAACCAGUCAAACAAAUCUUGAGGGGAGUGGCCAAGUACUAAUAAGAACGCAAGAAGCAAGUAGUAGACUCAAGCCUAUAAGCAAGGAUACAGUUUAGCAGUACGGGAAUGGAAGCUGGGGCAGUAAGGAUGAGAUCGAGGUAAGGACUGGCUUGCCAGCAGUAGCUCAAGUUAAGUUGGGCACUAUGGAAUUACAGGUUGUUAUGUUAGUACUCGAUCCCUAGUUUCUAGAUCCAGUAUUGUUGGCAUUGAUUCCGAUCUGUAUUAUCAAAGAAAAGUAUUAGAAGCACUAGGUCAAUUCAGUGGGGUGUGGGGAUAGAGUUAAGUCUUAUAAACAGUAGGCUAAGCCUGAUACGCAGUAAAGCCAGGAUCAAAGGCGGGGAGAGGGAUACGGUAAAGCAAGGUUCGAAUCAAUAGAUAGGGAAUUGAGAUAGGGCAGUGUCCGGUUGAAAGAAUGACUAGUAAGCAUGUUUGCCUGUACUGUUUGCCUUUAGUUGCAUUCCGAGAAGCAGCAGUGAAAGUACGAGAAGCACUAACUACUUGGCGCCAGCUUGUCUGCUUGGUUAUACGUGACUUGGCUCUCCCCUACUCAGUUGCUCUACUCCGGACAGAGGAUGUCUGACUGUUGCUCUACCUGGGACAGGAUGUAUUACUCAGGAGUUAUUACAAUGGAUGUAUUCAGGGCGGUAGCGAGUUAAAGGAUCAAGUGAGUUCCUUGUUGCGCGGCAGGAGCCCGAGCGAGCUUCUAGUAGAUCUUGCAACUAAUCAUUUAUUAUAUACUAGUAGAUCUUGCAACUAAUCAUUUAUUAUAUAGACUAUAUCCUAUUCUUCCUAGUUCUCUUAUUAUUCCUAUAGCCUAUACUAACUCAUAGGUAUCUGACUCAUAUAGUACUUACCUAAACGAAGUUAUUCAGACUACGAGUUCUCUUUUGACUCCUACUGAGUGAAAUUAUGACUUGCUACACCUUCAUUGCUAAACACAUGGGUGAUACCUACUACAGUUACAAGUCCUUAUUUGUUGCUGCUACCAUAUAAGUCGAAUUCUUUCUCUGUGAACUCCACUUUCCUGCAUCCCUUUUGCCAACAACUUUAUACCUUUACUUUAGAACUGAGCUUGCUGGUGUUCGACUCAAUAAAUAUGUUAGUAACAGUUAUUACCAAGUCCUUAUUUCGGGUUCAGAAGAUCAUAUUGCAGUCACAGAAUUUCUUUCAUCUAUCGCAGACUUAGAACCAAUAGCCGGAACUCUUAUGGAAUCUGGUACAAGCACAGCUCAUUCUUGAGUCUAGUAUAGUAUCCUUUCCUGGCACCCGACCUGUAAUCUAAUGGUUGAGCUACAGCGGCACGGCACCUCGAUUCAGUAUUAUUAAGUUGGGCUACUACUACUCGGGACUGCAAACCCAUCUUUUGAAUCUACUGGUGGAUCUGUUUCCGCUCUACCAGCUUACUUUUGCACUGAUCCUUCCACAGUGGAAUAUCUGUCUCCUGAGUCUGCGGAUUCUCUGGAAACGGAGUCUUCUCCUUUCGAUGUAUACUUUCCAUCUGAUGCUUCGGAGCACUCGGUGGGUCGCAUUCUUUAUUUGGAGUGUGAUUCUGACCUUGGAGUGAAAAAGUCCACAGGCUUCUAGCUCGACACUUGUUUGCCUCAUGACUAGCUUAUCAAUUCUAUACCUUUCUACCUUAAUUCUUCUCCGAAUCUCCCCUCGCGCAGAUAUUUGUAAUUCCGAGUUGGCGGCCGUACACCAAUGCUUCGUAUUCUGCUUCGUUGUUGGGAGUAUAGCCGUAUGGCCUGUUCCAAUCGCAGUCAAGAGGAGAGUUAGAAGAAGGUACUUUGUUGAAUCAGUAUUUGUAGUAUUAGUUGACAGCUGGGUCUACAAGGGAAGCAAUGGAAGGUUGCCAGCCCAGUGGAAUCAGUAGUUGUUGAGAGAGUUUAGGUAGGCAAUAAAGUCCAGAGUCGAGGUCGGCAAGAGAAUAAGUCUCGUCUCUUUCUUUGGCUUUGAAGCGGGGAGUGUGGAAUUACCUGGAAAGCUGGGUGAGUUAGGUCUACGAGAUCAUCACAAGUCCAGUAACCUUAGUAUAUGAGUGAAAUUAGAACCUUAGUUGCGGAAGAGGGAUAAUGUAAGUAUAAGUGGGUAAGUAACCCUGCGCUCUGAACCAACCCGGGGCCCAGUACAUGCUCUUACUUGACCUAUCUAUCCAAUUUGAAGUCAACUCUCUUCUUUAGUACAGGACCCUCCCUUCUUAGUCCGAAUGAAGUUCAUUGUUGCCAGUUUACAGAGGAGAAGUAGAUGAGCCAUAGGGAGAUGAGCCAUAGGAGAGGCAAGUUUCAUAAAGGUCUGCAAGGGAAGCGGUUAAGGAGGUGGGCAAGUAG